AUUGAACGCUGGCGGCAGGCCUAACACAUGCAAGUCGAGCGAGCGGCGGACGGGUGAGUAAUGUAUGGGGACUGCCCGAUAGAGGGGGAUAACUACUGGAAACGGUAGCUAAUACCGCAUACUAUCGGAUAACCCAUAUGGGAUUAGAUAGUAGGUGAGGUAAUGGCUCACCUAGGCGACGAUCCCUAGCUGGUCUGAGAGGGUGACCGGCCACAUUGUGACUGAGAUACGGCCCAGACUCCUACGGAGGCAGCAGUGGGGGAUAUUGCACAAUGGGCGAAAGCCUGAUGCAGCGACGCCGCGUGGGGGAUGAAGGCCUUCGGGUUGUAAAGCACUUUCAGCGAGGAGGCGUUACUCGCAGAAGAAGCACCGGCGAACUCCGUGCCAGCAGCCGCGGUAAUUC
rnacentral:rRNA from 1 species